UCCCUUCCUCAGUUACUGUCACUUCUGAUUCCUCCAUCGCCGUCACUUGCCUUCCUCCUUUGCUGCCAGUGUGGCUCUCAUGAUUAUAACUUAUAUGCAUCAGACUCUCCAGCUGCUCCUGCACCAAUUGAAUCAUUUAGUGAUAUGUGUGUCCAUCCAAGUAUCAUGAAGGAUAUUAAAUAACAUGAAUACACCAGGCCAACUUCUAUCCAGGCAUAGGCCAUGCCAAUUGCUCUUACUGGAAAAAGAUCUACUUGGCGGUGCUGGAACUGGUAGUAGGAAACUACAGCUUUCACAAUUCCUAUGAUACAGCAUUGCAUGGCUCAACCUCUUAUUCGGCGUGGUGAUGGUCCUCUGGCAUUAGUUUUGGCUCCUACUAGAGAACUUGCUCAACAAAUAGAGAAAGAGGUGAUAUGCAUAAUUUUAUCUG